rnacentral:rRNA from 1 species
CACGUAGGGGACGAGCGUUGUUCGGAUUCAUUGGGCGUAAAGGGUGCGUAGGCGGCGCGGUAAGUCGGGUGUGAAAUCUCGGAGCUUAACUCCGAAACUGCAUUCGAUACUGCCGUGCUUGAGGACUGGAGAGGAGACUGGAAUUUACGGUGUAGCGGUGAAAUGCGUAGAUAUCGUAAGGAAGACCAGUGGCGAAGGCGGGGUCUCUGGACAGUUCCUGACGCUGAGGCACGAAGGCCAGGGGAGCAAACGGG